rnacentral:lncRNA from 1 species
GGGGGGGGGGUAUAUUUCAACAUCAGUGUAUUGCUCAAACCAGAAAAACAGAAUACAUUAUUUUUUGUGGGGGGGGGGUCAAUUCCCAACAUCAUAGAGUAUUGCACAAAAGCCAAAAAAUAAAUAUCAAUUCAAAUCAUAUACUAGUAACCAAUUUGAAGUUCUUUGACUAGUUAUUCUUUGUCAGAAACCUAUUAUGUG